rnacentral:rRNA from 1 species
AUGAACGCUAGCGACAGGCUUAACACAUGCAAGUCGAGGGGUAACAGGGUAGCAAUACCGCUGACGACCGGCGCACGGGUGAGUAACGCGUAUGCAACCUGCCUAUAACUGGGGAAUAGCUCCCUGAAAGGGGGAAUUAACACCGCAUAACACUAUUGAUUCGCAUGGAUUGGUAGUUAAAUGUAGCGAUACAGGUUAUAGAUGGGCAUGCGUGACAUUAGCUAGUUGGUGAGGUAACGGCUCACCAAGGCUACGAUGUCUAGGGGUUCUGAGAGGAAGGUCCCCCACACUGGUACUGAGACACGGACCAGACUCCUACGGGAGGCAGCAGUGAGGAAUAUUGGUCAAUGGGCGCAAGCCUGAACCAGCCAUGUCGCGUGCAGGAAGAACCUGCCCUAUGGGUUGUAAACUGCUUUUAUAGUAGAAGAAACACAUCUACGCGUAGAUGUCUGCCAGUAUACUAUGAAUAAGCAUCGGCUAACUCCGUGCCAGCCGCCGC